CCACACCAAAAAACUUUYCCACGUGAACCGUAAUAAUCAUGUUUUGUGCCUUCUCUCGGGAGGGCUAAACGAAGGUGGGCCGCUUUAUUGUGGUCUGCCGAUGUAUUUUUCAAACCCAUUUACUUUAAUACUGAACUAUACUCCGAGAACAAAAGUUUUUGGUUUUAAUCAAUAACAACUUUCAGCAGUGGAUGUCUAGGCUCGCACAUCGAUGAAGAACGCUGCGAACUGCGAUACGUAAUGCGAAUUGCAGAAUUCAGUGAGUCAUCGAAAUUUUGAACGCACAUUGCACUUUCGGGAUAUUCCUGGAAGUAUGCUUGUAUCAGUGUCCGUACAUCAAACUUGCCUUUCUUUUUUUGUGUAGUCAAGAUUAGAAACGGCAGAAUGUGAGGUGUCUCGCUGGCUCCCUCUUCGGAGGAGAAGACGCGAGUCCCUUUAAAUGUACGUUCGCUCUUUCUUGUGUCUAAGUAGAAGUGUGACUUUCGAACGCAGUGAUCUGUUUGGAUCGCUUUGCGCGAGUGGGCGACUUCGGUUAGGACAUUAAAGGAAGCAACCUCUAUUGGCGGUAUGUUAGGCUUCGGCCCGACUUUGCAGCUGACAGUGUGUUGUUUUCUGUUCUUUCCUUGAGGUGUACCUGUCUUGUGUGAGGCAAUGGUCUGGGCAAAUGGUUAUUGUGUAGUAGAAUUUUGCUGCUCUUGGGCGCCUCACUUGUGGGGUAAAGAAGACAACACCAAUUUGGGACAGUUUGUGGGAUUUAUCUCGCAGGCGCUUUUUUCAAUUGGACCUGAUAUCAAGUAAGACUACCCGCUGAACUUAAG
rnacentral:rRNA from 1 species